rnacentral:rRNA from 1 species
CCUACGGGUGGCAGCAGUGAGGAAUAUUGGUCAAUGGACGAGAGUCUGAACCAGCCAAGUCGCGUGAAGGAUGACUGCCCUAUGGGUUGUAAACUUCUUUUAUAAAGGAAUAAAACGAGGCACGUGUGCCUUUUUGCAUGUACUUUAUGAAUAAGGAUCGGCUAACUCCGUGCCAGCAGCCGCGGUAAGACGGAGGAUCCGAGCGUUAUCCGGAUUUAUUGGGUUUAAAGGGAGCGUAGAUGGGUUGUUAAGUCAGUUGUGAAAUUUUGCGGCUCAACCGUAAAAUUGCAAUUGAUACUGGCAGUCUUGAGUACAGUUGAGGUAAGCGGAAUUCGUGGUGUAGCGGUGAAAUGCUUAGAUAUCACGAAGAACCCCGAUUGCGAAGGCAGCUUACUAGACUGUGACUGACAUUGAUGCUCGAAAGUGUGGGUAGCAAACAGGAUUAGAUACCCUUGUAGUC